AGAGUUUGAUCCUGGCUCAGGAUGAACGCUAGCGGCAGGCCUAAUACAUGCAAGUCGAGGGGCAGCACGGGUAGCAAUAUCUGGUGGCGACCGGCGCACGGGUGCGUAACACGUAUACAAUCUGCCUUUUACAGGGGGAUAGCCUUUCGAAAGAGAGAUUAAUACCCCAUAACAAUAGAUAUGGCAUCAUAUUUAUUUGAAAGCUCCGGCGGUAAAAGAUGAGUAUGCGUCCUAUUAGCUAGUUGGUGAGGUAACUGCUCACCAAGGCUACGAUAGGUAGGGGAUCUGAGAGGACUACCCCCCACACUGGUACUGAGACACGGACCAGACUCCUACGGGAGGCAGCAGUAAGGAAUAUUGGUCAAUGGGGGCAACCCUGAACCAGCCAUGCCGCGUGUAGGAAGAAGGCCCUAUGGGUCGUAAACUACUUUUAUAUGGGAGAAAACCUGGGUACGUGUACCCAGUUGAUAGUACUGUAAGAAUAAGGAUCGGCUAACUUCGUGCCAGCAGCCGCGGUAAGACGAAGGAUCCAAGCGUUAUCCGGAUUCAUUGGGUUUAAAGGGUGCGUAGGCGGGUUUAUAAGUCAGUGGUGAAAGCCGAUCGCUUAACGAUCGAACUGCCAUUGAUACUGUAGACCUAGAGUAUAGAUGAUGUUGGCGGAAUAUGACAUGUAGCGGUGAAAUGCAUAGAUAUGUCAUAGAACACCGAUUGCGAAGGCAGCUGACAAAACUAUAACUGACGCUGAUGCACGAAAGUGCGGGGAUCAAACAGGAUUAGAUACCCUGGUAGUCC
rnacentral:rRNA from 1 species